rnacentral:lncRNA from 1 species
AUGUUUCCGACGCUACCUACCGCAGGCUCAGCAAAAGAUCGGCCUAGUGUUAGUGGCGUUUCCAUCCAGACCGAUGUUUCCUUUUUUAACCCUAAGAUUAACGGCCAAGACAGCACCAGCGCAACAACAUCUAGCGUCUCUUCAUGUCUUGCAAAGGACUCUGAAUCCUCGCAAAUAGUUCCUGUUGCUCAGUCAAAUGAAUUAUUAAUUUGUAAACUAGAAAAACCUGAUGAUGAAUGUAGUAUAAAUCGCAGAAAUAAACUCACAAAGUCUUUUACUUUUCUUGAAAUUUGGUCAGAAUUGUACAAGGCAGACACAAGCUUAGACAUGAUCAAAACUUUUAAUUUAUUUAUUGGGCGUAAAGAACCCCAUUGCCAUGUAUGCUCCAUUUUAACCAACUCAGAGAAUUUCAAUGUAAAUAUUGACACAGAUUCUGCAGUUUUCUAUAAUCUGAGUGAGGAGAGUGUUGCAGAGAAAAGUCAUGUUACAAACAGGAAACCUCCCGGCAGAGAUGGGGAAAGUGUUUUGCUAUCAUGUAGUGACUGUGCUGUCAUCGUCCACAGUGAAUGCUACGAUGACAACAACCCACCGAGUCUCCUCCCUGAAAAGUGGAGAUGUGAUAUGUGUAUAGAAAAUAAAUUAUCAGAGAAGUGCAAAUUAUGCUCCCUCAGCGGGGUGCAUUUAAAGAAACAGUCAAUAAGGAGUGGGUCCACAUUGCAUGUAUGA